CCCUGAGACUUAGAGUCUCCUGAAGGAACGUUGAAGACGACGACGUUGAUAGGCCGGGUGUGUAAGCGCAGCGAUGCGUUGAGCUAACCGGUACUAAUGAACCGUGAGGCUUAACCUUACAACGCCGAAG
rnacentral:rRNA from 3 species